AAACUGCUUUUGUACGAGGGUAAACGCAGAUACGUGUAUCUGUCUGAAAGUAUCGUACGAAUAAGGAUCGGCUAACUCCGUGCCAGCAGCCGCGGUAAUACGGAGGAUUCAAGCGUUAUCCGGAUUUAUUGGGUUUAAAGGGUGCGUAGGCGGUUUGAUAAGUUAGAGGUGAAAUUUCGGGGCUCAACCCUGAACGUGCCUCUAAUACUGUUGAGCUAGAGAGUAGUUGCGGUAGGCGGAAUGUAUGGUGUAGCGGUGAAAUGCUUAGAGAUCAUACAGAACACCGAUUGCGAAGGCAGCUUACCAAACUAUAUCUGACGUUGAGGCACGAAAGCGUGGGGAGCAAACAGGAUUAGAUACCCUGGUAGUCCACGCAGUAAACGAUGAUAACUCGUUGUCGGCGAUACACAGUCGGUGACUAAGCGAAAGCGAUAAGUUAUCCACCUGGGGAGUACGUUCGCAAGAAUGCAACUCAAAGGAAUUGACGGAA
rnacentral:rRNA from 1 species